UCUCCCCUGUGGAAAACAGCGACCUCUCUCUCUCUCUCACACACACACACACAAAUUUUUGCUUCUUGAUUUGGGCACUUUCAAGCCAAGUGACCUUCACCAAACUUGUAGCCCUUGACCUCAUGAACAAAACCUAUAAGAUAGUUCACUUGGGAAGCUCUUGGGAAGGAGAUUUCAGCCCUCUAAACCCGCGGGUACUGUUCAUGCGAAAUUAAGGAGAGUGUAUUUUGAUGGUUUCAAGCUUAGAGAUGGAAGCUUAGGUGCCUAGGAACUCAUUUAAGGUUUGUGCCUAUAGAUAUUGUGUUGGAGGAUCAAGCAUUGGAGGGAGGUACUUAGCUUUCUUGCGUUACAACUAAGCAAUUUGUGUAAUCUUCAAGAGGAUAUCAUUCUCAGCUAUGAAGUACAACUUACGCGCAUGCUCAAACACGUUGGUGUUGCUGUAGACAUGGUAUAUUCAAUCUGCUGUACUAGCUACUUGCAAGUAAUUCACGAUAGGAUAUUAUAAUUAUAUCAUUGUUUCCCUUUUUUUAAUGUGUUAUAUGUAUGUUGUCUGCCAUAUUUAUUGAUAAUUAAGCCAUGUUAAUCGUUAAUGACAUUGCUUUUGCAUGCACUUAUUGAGCAUGUGAGCUUU